rnacentral:rRNA from 1 species
AUGGCGCUGCUCCGGCUCCUCCCCCGCUUGCUGCCAGGUCUGUCUUUCCUUCAUUCCCUCCUUGCCGUCCUGUGCGGCGGUGGACGAGGCUACCAGAUGUCGCGAAGCCAACCUCCUAACACCGGCAGUUGCACUGCACCUGCGAAAAAAGAACAAUCAAAAGUCAAAAUCAAAAAAUGGGAAGUUCAGAAUCAGAACAAUCACAAGUCUUCACUCACGUACUUGCAAAAAUCGCUAGGCUGUAGCUCGUAUGUUGUUUGCAACCACCUUCAAUUUCUUGAGUAUCUUGUACACAUUUUGCCAAAAGCUAGUACUUUUAGAAUAGUAAAGUUGAUAGGUGGGGAUAACCAGGUUGAUGGCAAUUGA